rnacentral:miRNA from 1 species
UAAAAGGCUGUUAAAUGAUGAU